GCCGUCAAUGAUAAGGAGAUGGUGCAGUUCAUCAUGAAUGGCCUCGACUUUGAUUACAAUCCAAUUGUUUCCUCAAUCCUUGGCCAUGCUGAUUCUAUAUCAUUGAGUGACCUUUACUCUCAACUAGUGGCAUAUGAUA
rnacentral:snoRNA from 1 species